GAUGAACGCUGGCGGCGUGCCUAAUACAUGCAAGUCGAGCAAACAGACGAGGAGCUUGCUCCUCUGACGUUAGCGGCGGACGGGUGAGUAACACGUGGAUAACCUACCUAUAAGACUGGGAUAACUUCGGGAAACCGGAGCUAAUACCGGAUAAUAUAUUGAACCGCAUGGUUCAAUAGUGAAAGACGGUUUUGCUGUCACUUAUAGAUGGAUCCGCGCCGCAUUAGCUAGUUGGUAAGGUAACGGCUUACCAAGGCAACGAUGCGUAGCCGACCUGAGAGGGUGAUCGGCCACAGGGGAACUGAGACACGGUCCAGAAUCCGACGGGAGGCAGCAGUAGGGAAUCUUCCGCAAUGGGCGAAAGCCUGACGGAGCAACGCCGCGUGAGUGAGGAAGGUCUUCGGAUCGUAAAACUCUGUUAUUAGGGAAGAACAAAUGUGUAAGUAACGAUGCACGUCUUGACGGUACCUAAGCAGAAAGCCACGGCUAACUACGU
rnacentral:rRNA from 1 species